CCUACGGGAGGCAGCAGUGAGGAAUAUUGGUCAAUGGACGAGAGUCUGAACCAGCCAAGUAGCGUGAAGGAUGACUGCCCUAUGGGUUGUAAACUUCUUUUAUAUGGGAAUAAAACGUUCCACGUGUGGGAUUUUGUAUGUACCAUAUGAAUAAGGAUCGGCUAACUCCGUGCCAGCAGCCGCGGUAAUUCGGAGGAUCCGAGCGUUAUCCGGAUUUAUUGGGUUUAAAGGGAGCGUAGGUGGAUUGUUAAGUCAGUUGUGAAAGUUUGCGGCUCAACCGUAAAAUUGCAGUUGAAACUGGCAGUCUUGAGUACAGUAGAGGUGGGCGGAAUUCGUGGUGUAGCGGUGAAAUGCUUAGAUAUCACGAAGAACUCCGAUUGCGAAGGCAGUUCACUGGACUGCAACUGACACUGAGGCUCGAAAGUGUGGGUAUCAAACAGGAUUAGAUACCCUUGUAGUC
rnacentral:rRNA from 1 species